CGCGUAUCUGAUGCGACACGUAUCAGAUACGCGGUUAAUAGCGAUCGGGGCGUAUCAUGAUACGCGUAUCAUUUUAAUACGCUUCGAUGAUACGCAACGGAGAUCUGAUCGCGCAAAUGAUACAAAUAUGCACGAAGCCUAA